rnacentral:tRNA from 1 species
AUAUUGUUAGUAUAAUUAAAUAUGUUUCUUUUCCAAAGAAAAGUUCUAGGGUUUAGACAUUAUA